rnacentral:rRNA from 1 species
GACGAGUGGCGGACGGGUGAGUAAUGCUUGGGAACUUGCCUUUGCGAGGGGGAUAACAGUUGGAAACGACUGCUAAUACCGCAUAAUGUCUUCGGACCAAACGGGGCUUCGGCUCCGGCGCAAAGAGAGGCCCAAGUGAGAUUAGCUAGUUGGUAAGGUAACGGCUUACCAAGGCGACGAUCUCUAGCUGUUCUGAGAGGAAGAUCAGCCACACUGGGACUGAGACACGGCCCAGACUCCUACGGGAGGCAGCAGUGGGGAAUAUUGCACAAUGGGGGAAACCCUGAUGCAGCCAUGCCGCGUGUGUGAAGAAGGCCUUCGGGUUGUAAAGCACUUUCAGUUGUGAGGAAAAGUUAGUAGUUAAUACCUGCUAGCCGUGACGUUAACAACAGAAGAAGCACCGGCUAACUCCGUGCCAGCAGCCGCGGUAAUACGGAGGGUGCGAGCGUUAAUCGGAAUUACUGGGCGUAAAGCGCACGCAGGCGGUUUGUUAAGCUAGAUGUGAAAGCCCCGGGCUCAACCUGGGAUGGUCAUUUAGAACUGGCAGACUAGAGUCUUGGAGAGGGGAGUGGAAUUCCAGGUGUAGCGGUGAAAUGCGUAGAUAUCUGGAGGAACAUCAGUGGCGAAGGCGAC